ACGCUAGCUACAGGCUUAACACAUGCAAGUCGAGGGGAAACGGCAUUUAGUGCUUGCACCGAAUGGACGUCGACCGGCGCACGGGUGAGUAACGCGUAUCCAACCUUCCCAUAACUAAGGAAUAACCUGCCGAAAGGCAGACUAAUACCUUAUGUAAUCCUUUGAUGGCAUCAGAUAAGGAUAAAAGAUUUAUCGGUUAUGGAUGGGGAUGCGUCUGAUUAGCUUGUUGGCGGGGUAACGGCCCACCAAGGCAACGAUCAGUAGGGGUUCUGAGAGGAAGGUCCCCCACAUUGGAACUGAGACACGGUCCAAACUCCUGCGGGAGGCAGCAGUGAGGAAUAUUGGUCAAUGGACGGAAGUCUGAACCAGCCAAGUAGCGUGCAGGAUGACGGCCCUAUGGGUUGUAAACUGCUUUUGUAUGGGGAUAAAGUCAAUCACGUGUGAUUGUUUGCAGGUACCAUACGAAUAAGGACCGGCUAAUUCCGUGCCAGCAGCCGCGGUAAUACGGAAGGUUCGGGCGUUAUCCGGAUUUAUUGGGUUUAAAGGGAGCGUAGGCCGGAGAUUAAGUGUGUUGUGAAAUGUAGACGCUCAACGUCUGACUUGCAGCGCAUACUGGUUUCCUUGAGUACGCACAACGUUGGCGGAAUUCGUCGUGUAGCGGUGAAAUGCUUAGAUAUGACGAAGAACUCCGAUUGCGAAGGCAGCUGACGGGAGCGCAACUGACGCUGAAGCUCGAAGGUGCGGGUAUCGAACAGGAUUAGAUACCCUGGUAGUCCGCACAGUAAACGAUGGAUGCCCGCUGUUGGUACCUAGUAUCAGCGGCUAAGCGAAAGCAUUAAGCAUCCCACCUGGGGAGUACGCCGGCAACGGUGAAACUCAAAGGAAUUGACGGGGGCCCGCACAAGCGGAGGAAC
rnacentral:rRNA from 1 species